CCUAAAAACUCAUAUGUGUAAAAAUAUGGCACAUUUCAUUUCAGCAUUGUUAUUCAGACUCUUUCAUAUUUGUUAUAGGAAAUUCCAAAACUGUUUUUCUCAGUGAUGAAUUGCAGUAUUUAAAAUUUCUUUUUUCUUUUUCCUUUUUUUUUUUUUUUUUCUAGGGAAAUAUAUAUAUAUAUAUUUAAUACUAGAUUUGUCAUAGCUAUCCCAACAUUUAUUGUCUCUUACAGGUCAGCUUUAAUUGCAAGCUCCCUGAAAGGCCAACUUCAGCACUACCCAUUGCAUAGCCCUAUAUUGCUGAUACUGAAACAGCAGUUCCUACCAGCUCUAUGGUAGAUACACAGGGACCUGCAGCAGUGCUUUUUGCUCUGAAGCUACCUACAGCACCCCUGCCUGUGGCUAAUUCCUCCUCGGGCUUGCACUCUCCACGCAAUCCCCAGUGGAUUGGGGAAGAAAAGAAAGAAUUGGAAUCAACUCAAAGAAAGAACUAUGAACUAUGGGCAAGAAAAUAUAAGCAAAUGCAAUUGAGAUGCAGGCAGAUUUUUUUUUCCCCACAGACAGAUUUUUGAAUAAUAAAAUUAAUAUAAAUAUUGGACUCUUAGAAAUAAAAUGCUUACUAUUAAAAUCAACCCCCAAGCAUAUACUAUGAGAAACCUUUCUUCUUUUACACAGCUGUCAACCCUUUGGAGAUUUUAAAUUGGAAUUUGUCUAGUGUAAAUCGUAGUUUCUACUUAAAAAGAAGUAUCAGAAACAUUGAGCUUUUGUCUGGAGUUUUUAAAGCGUGGGAAAACUAAUAUCAUUUCUGUACUAAUGUAGAGUAAUAAAUUUUCACGUCCUCCAAAUUUUGGCAAAAACUGGUUAUGUCUUUUGAUCCAUGAGAUAUUUUGCUAUAUAACACUGUCAUACACUUUCUCGUAAGAAAAAAAAAUUCUCUCCUCUGGACUAUUUGACAUGGCUAUUUCAUUUGUAACUACUAGUGCCUCCAUCCAGACUGGCUGUGUUUCAGUCACCAGUGUCUUCACAGAGUUUCUACAUGAAUUAUUGGGCUGUGUUUAGUAUCUAGUAGUCUAAGGAGUUGAAAAGUGUGGUUCUAAUGUUUGACUGCAACUUGAAAGGUUCUUCAGAUACAUAGCCAGGCGUAACAAUGACCUGUUUGUGGUUGCAGCAAAGCAAAGCCCAUAUUGAACUCAGCAGAAAUAAGUCUCUGGGUGACAAAAGGAUAUUCCUUGUCAGCCCCCAAGCAUGUGCAGCAUGGCUUCCAGGUUCAACAUGAAAGAGUAGUUUUAGAGGAUGAGAAUAACAAGAGUCAGCUAUGUUAACCAUAUCAGUGGCAUUUGGGAGUAGCUCAGAACUGAUAGGAUAUGCAUAAUUGGACCCAGUUUGAAUUCUUAAGUUAGACAGGCUUGCACAAAUGUUUUUAGCUAGCUAGGAAGUCUUUGGAAAAAAAUGACUUCAAGCAAAUGGGAAUCUUUUAAAGGUUUCCUCUGUAUCAAGAGGAUUUUUUUCUGAGUUGUGUUCGUUUAUUUUCAUUCAACACUGAUUGAAGUCUUCUUAUUUAGCAAAAUAAUAUGAAUGAUAACUAAUAAAGGAUUUUUUGUGUGUGUGCUCCUCCUUGAUGUCUCCAGAGCUACAGAUCAAUUGCUAGUGUUCAGUGACUCCUGCUCAAAAGCGUAGGGCCUGUGGGUGGGUCUUCUUUUAUGGCUGACACUUGUACAAUGCAUAAUCUGAGAUGACACUGACCCUGGCAGCCUUAUGGGAAUAAAAUUUUCAGCAGGAUGAAUUGUUCCUGAAUGGUUUCUUCGAUGUACUGUGUUACAUGCCCAAACAUUUUUUUCAUCAUCUUGAGCAUAUGCCCUAAAUUUCCUAUCUGCUCUUUUUAUUGCAUGAGUUUGAUUGUAGCCAACAGCAAAGGUCAAAAGACAUUUUACUGUUUCUAUUUCUGUAUUUCUGUUAAGAUGAAUUAAAUUGUUGGUGCUGUAAAGUGACUUGUUAAAAAGCUUAUGCUGCAAGACUUCAACUGGUAUAAACUGAAGCUGAACUGCAUCAGUUUAAACCAGAUGGUCCAGGGAGACUAUGUGGUCCAAAGGGUAGGGUAUUGAUUUCGAAACCAAGAAAGAGAGUUUGAUUCCCUGAAGCCAGGGAAGCUCCAGGAUUUUAAAUAAUGUGUUCAUCUUACUCUGUCUCAGUUUUUUCCUGUAUGAGUGGUGGAGUGGCUCUGUAUUUUGAGAUCUUUUGCACUCAAUUUUUCAACGAUGCGGUCUUAUUUUCACAUCUAACAUUAGUCAGUAAAACUGCCUGUUCAGUCUAUGUUAUAGGCAGGUUCUGAAGUUUAGGAAUGCUGUGGUACCACUGUACAGACAAUUAUGUUUACCACUGUCCAUGAGUGGUAGAAUGCAUAAUUUCUCAGUCCAUAAUUGAACCAGCACUGUUUUGUAUUUCAAAGAGGGCUCAAUUUAUUUCCUUCUUA
rnacentral:lncRNA from 1 species